GAUGAACGCUGGCGGCGUGCUUAACACAUGCAAGUCGAACGGAAAGGCCACAGCUUGCUGUGGUACUCGAGUGGCGAACGGGUGAGUAACACGUGGGUGAUCUGCCCUGUACUUCGGGAUAAGCUUGGGAAACUGGGUCUAAUACCGGAUAGGAAUCACAUGUGGGUGUGUGGUUGGAAAGCUUUUGCGGUAUGGGAUGAGCUCGCGGCCUAUCAGCUUGUUGGUGGGGUAAUGGCCUACCAAGGCGUCGACGGGUAGCCGGCCUGAGAGGGUGUACGGCCACAUUGGGACUGAGAUACGGCCCAGACUCCUACGGGAGGCAGCAGUGGGGAAUAUUGCACAAUGGGCGCAAGCCUGAUGCAGCGACGCCGCGUGGGGGAUGACGGCCUUCGGGUUGUAAACUCUUUUCGUCAGGGACGAAGCGAAAGUGACGGUACCUGGAUAAGAAGCACCGGCUAACUACGUG
rnacentral:rRNA from 1 species